GGAAUGGGCGCCAGGCCUCGAUCUUGCACCUCGUUCCCGCCUUCGAGUCCACAGGCAGAAGAGCGACAGUGAGCAAGGACGUUCAGACCGACAGCAGGUUCUUGGGGACAGCAGUGUCGGCAUCAGGAGGAGGCAGGCCUUAGAGAGGUGGUCAGGUCACGAGGCAGGAGCCCUCGUGAAUGGGAUUAGUGCCCUUCUACAUGAGGGCCAAGAGACCCCUCACCUCCUCCACUGUGCGAGGACACAGUGAGGGGACAGCCGUCAUGAACCAGGAUGUGCGUCCUCACCAGACGUCAAAUCAGCCGGUGCCUACUUAUCAAACUUCCGGAACUGUGAGCGAUAACUUUGUAAGCUACCCAGCCUCUGGUAUUUUGUUAUAGUCCAAGCAGGCCAGACGGACACUUGUGGAUGAGGACAGCCAGCCACCCCACAGGAGGCCACCUCCCUCCUGCCUGGGGAUUUGCUUCCUCUUGACAUCAGUUCCCUGAAACCCUGCAUUUCCCGUCAACUAGAAGCUAACUGUGAGGAGUUGAUCAGAUGCUGUGCCAACGCUCUUGGCAAGAAAAGUUCCCAGAGGUGAUGAGUUCCUCUGACUCUAUCAUGUCAUGUAGGAUUUCUAUUGUUUUAAAGCAAAACAAUGGAGUAAGACAGGAAGAAAACCUAGCCCCAUUCAGGGAAGAGGAGCUUGGUCAGAUUCCAGUUGGUCUGGAAUUUAUUAUCCAUUACUGUAGUUCCAGAAACCCGACCAGUUGGAGACCCCCUUGGGGUGAAUACAUCCUCCUUUACAAAAGGCAAAGACUUCUCGGAACCUUGGGACUCUGGCAACCACUCACACCUUAGUGUGAACAAGCCCCGUCACCUCCUUUUCUUCCUAGGUACCUAAUUAAAAUGAGCAUAUCUGAGGAGAGGUCCUGGUGGUCCUCUGUGGCGUGCCACAAGGAAGACAAUACCAGGCAGCAUGAGAGCCCGGGGUCUGGAGAACGGGCCUUGGUAGUGACAGGCUCGGGUGACUGCAAGAGAGACCAGAUCACGUGGGGUCUGGCAGCAGGAAGAAGGACGGUAGAUGGUGGCUGGGAGUGGGACCAGUCCCAGUGAUGGGCUCUCAGGGCAGAAGAGAGUCCCAGACCCUCUUAGAGAGGCCUCCCCCGAGAACAAGGCACACACAACGUGAGCAUUCGCUGCACACUUGGAAAUAAGGGAAAGGAAACGUGAGCCUCUAAUCAAACCACCUGCUGAAGUCCCUGAAAUUUGAUCUUGGCAUGGUUCGCUAAGGACAGCGAAGGGGACAUCCUUGUCCCGCUCCUUCCUUCUUCCCACCUACAGAUCCCUCCCAGCAGUGGUAGAGCUCAUCUAUGGGCGGGUCCUCUGUGGGCCAGCCUGGCCCUAACAACCAUGGGCAAUGUUAUUUUUUUGAAAUAAUGGAUUCCAAGUUCCUGCGUAUAAGUGUUGGCUGAUCCCGAGUCCUCCCUGUGGAAAUGGGCAAGAAGGGAUUUUGCGUGGUCAUUCCACCAUCUGCAAGGUGCAGUUUGAGGAAUCGGGGACAUGACGGUCAACCAGACAGACGAGGUCCUUCUCUUAGUGGGAGAAGUAAAAGGAAGAUGGCGGCCAAGAUGUCAAACCAGACGUGCAUCUGAGCACUUCUGGGAUGGACCUGUGAGUUCAAGAUGGUCUGCUUCCUAUUCUAGGACAUUCUUACGUCCCCAUCAACCUUCUCCCCACCUGCUAAGUUCGGGUCCCUCCCAAGGUUCCGUGAUUCCCUUGUAUUCUUCUUCAAGAUGUUUUGGUGAGAAACUGGGUGGCUUCUGAGCCCACCCACAAGCUCACGCUCUGGAGCCGUGGACCAGCCUGCAGGGAAACGUCCUAAAGCCCGCGGAGUCCACCGUCUCAUUAGGUGACAAGAGUGACAUUCAGAGAGGGUUGGUGGCUUGGCCGAGACAACCCUGUUAGUGUAAGGGCUGGACGUAAAUCCAUGGUGACUGCUUCCAAACACCACGUCCUUCUGAGACGCUCACACGUCCCCUCCAAGUCCAUUUUACAGAUAAGGAAACUGAGGUUCAUCUGCCCAUGCAUGGCCCUAAGCUGCUCGGCAUCUUUAUGGUAGAGCGUGGGCCCAGCUGAAUUUCCAGUGCCACUUUUUUGUGGCGUGAUUUUUGGUCGGUAAUUGUGGGCUCCAGGUGCUGCUCAAGUUGAAGUCGCUCACCCUGGGCCUCCUGGUGUCCGGCCCAAGACUCGCUACCCUUCUCCGUGAAGGUGCCAUGAUGACUGCCUGAGGAGGCUGCCUUCCAGGGUGCAGGCUCCAGGGACCCACCCUGUCCUCCAUCGACAUGGCUCCAGGGACGGGGACAUCUACACUCCAAGAAGAGGACGCUGGGUGGGGGUCCAGUGCCAGCCCUGUCUGUCUCCCCCUCCACGAACACCUUCAGGGGUUCCACGUUGCCAACCAAAUGACGGCAAGCCCCUCACCCUGGUGUCCAAGGCUGCCCCGGGAUGGCCGCACCUGUCCUCCCCGCCGUGCCCCUGGGUCUGGUCAGGCGGCGGUACUCUGCACCUUCUGUCCCUCCUCCCGCUACUCCCUGCCCACAAUUCUCCAUCACCUCUCCUCUGCAGGAUUUCCAUCCCUCCAAGUGAAGUUCGGGUUCAACAUCCCCGGAGGUGCCUUCCGUGACCGUUCCGGCUGGACAAGACCUCUUCCUCGACCUCCUGGCAUUGGUCAGGGACAUUUUUGAUAACAAGCCACAGAAAUUCAGCUCAUAGCGUCAACACCUAAAGGGGAAUGAUCGACCCAUGUCAUUGGGCAACCCGGGCAUGGACCAGGUCACCUGACCCGUCCAUGGUCUCUCUGGGGACCGCCCUCACCCUUCCCUACUGUGGAUGGAGUGCACUGCGGUGGGAGGGCGAGGAAGGGGAGAAGGAAGUCAGUCAAGUUUGGCUGCAGCCUGGUGCAAACCCAGCUUCAUGGGCAUCUGCCCUGGUGGGAGGGAUGAACCUGCCUGGUGUGGCAUGGUGUGUGCCCUCCCAGAGCCGUCGCUGAGCCAGGAGAAGGGGGCACUGUUCUUGGUCAGCAGGCGUCAUGAAAUGACCUCAUGGGCGGGAAACAUGGGCUGUGAUUGGCACCUGGCCAGUGAUGUGGUGGUGAUGGGGGAGCAGCCAAGGAAGGGGAGUGUGGCAGACGAAAGCAAGUGUCUGUCCUGCUACUCGAUCUUGUGACGUGCGUGUUUUGUGUCUGUAACUCUCUUUGCACGAGACCAUGAGCAUCUGACUCACUGGACUUGACUUCCCUGGGGACAAGGGACUGUCUCAUUUCUAUCUGCAGCCCCCACCUGGCAUGGGGUCUGGCCAGCCUUUCUAGUUGUGCAUAGAAUCAUUUUCCUCUGGCAUUGACCUUCCAAAUUACUCCUGGGGGGGAGAAGAGAGAUCGGGGAGAAGCGAGUUCUUCACCCGGUCCCUGGAGUUCUGAGAUCCCUCCCGAGGACAGAGAACCAUCAGGACACUGUGUCUUCCUACACCUGCCUUUAUUUGUUUCCCAUAUAUUGAGAUUUCUUGUAGAAAAUAACCCAAAGAAUGUUUUCUGUAGCUUUUAAGAGUUAGAAUACCCCUGGGCUAGGGGAGGGAGCCCCACAACCAUGGGUUCUUUGAGCAGUUUGUCAUUCAAGGGAGCCAUGGUCAAAUGAGUUAGGGACAUUUUGCUGGCUCCAGCCCCUUCUAGGAGAUGAAGAAGGUACUCGAGCCUUUUAAAUGCUCUGAGAAGUCCUGUGGACAACACCUGCUUGAAGAUGUUUGACUCCCUGAUUCCCAAAAUGGCUCCACCAUAAAUCUUUUUGCUAUUAAGUACGAUUAACACCCUGAAGAACCAAUGUUCCGAGGGGCCCAGACUGUAAACCCCUAGACAGGGACCGCUGGCCCCUUCCAGCCCUGUUGGUAUUGGAACUACAUGGAAAAUGGCUGAGGGACAGGGUUAGGCCCCAGGCAGGAGGACUGCAAUCACGGAGCAGGUGACUUUUCUACAGUGGGUCCCAGACACUCAACCUGCUGUGGAAGGUGUGAAUUGGGCUGAUUUUUUAUUUUAUUCUAUUUUAUUUGUCAGGGAUUAAACCCAGAGGUGCUUACCCCCUGAGCCCAAUCCCCAGCCCUUUUUGUGUCUUAUUGAGAGACAGGGUCUCACUGAGUUGCUUAGCACCUCGCUUUUGCUGAGGCUGGCUUUGAACUCUCAGUCCUCCUGCCUCAGCCUCCUGAGCUGCUGGGAUGACAGGUGUGCGCCACCAGCAGUGCCCGAUUUUUUACAUCAUAUUAGCAACAGGUGUCUAAAAUCCUAAAACGGUGUGCAUCCUUUGCCCGCCCGGCAGUGCUAUUUCUAAACUUUAUCUGAAGGAAAUUGUGACACAGAUACCCAGAAAGAAUGGACAGAGACAUUCCUCAAGUCUUGAUCAUUAUCCUGAAAACUGAAAACCAUCUUGGUCUGAAAAAAAAAAAUGGGGGGGGCACCCCUGCCAUGGAAGUGAGGGUCCAUUAACUACAACAUGGUAUAGCGAGGGAGACUGGGGACGCAGACUGGGCAGGAAGCAGGCCACACAAUAGGACCUAGAGCUUUGGAAGUAGAGUCGAUUCCAUUUUUAUUCCCAUAAGAUCUCUGUUAGGGCUCCCCAGAGGAGUCAGGCCGAAUGACCGCUUUGCAACUUUUAAUUCAAUUGUAAGUUGAUACUUUUGCGAAACAUAAUAAAAAUGUGGAGGCCAGAUCAAA